rnacentral:rRNA from 1 species
AGAGUUUGAUCCUGGCUCAGGAUGAACGCUGGCGGCGUGCUUAACACAUGCAAGUCGAGCGAGAAGCUUUUGACGGAUCCUUCGGGUGACGGAUGAAGUGGAAAGCGGCGGACGGGUGAGUAACGCGUGGGCAACCUGCCCUGUACAGAGGGAUAGCCACUGGAAACGGUGAUUAAUACCUCAUAAGACCACAGUGCUGCAUAGCACAGGGGUAAAAACUCUGGUGGUACAGGAUGGGCCCGCGUCUGAUUAGCUAGUUGGUAAGGUAACGGCUUACCAAGGCGACGAUCAGUAGCCGACCUGAGAGGGUGAUCGGCCACACUGGAACUGAGACACGGUCCAGACUCCUACGGGAGGCAGCAGUGGGGAAUAUUGCACAAUGGGCGAAAGCCUGAUGCAGCAACGCCGCGUGAACGAUGAAGGCCUCGGGUUGUAAAGUUCUUUUCUUGGAGAAGAAAAUUUGACGGUAUCCAAGGAAUAAGCCCCGGCUAACUACGUGCCAGCAGCCGCGGUAAUACGUAGGGGGCAAGCGUUAUCCGGAAUCACUGGGCGUAAAGGGAGUGUAGGCGGUCAAGCAAGUCAGGGGUGAAAGGCAUCGGCUCAACCGAUGUAAGCCUUUGAAACUGUUUGACUUGAGUGCAGGAGAGGUAAGUGGAAUUCCUAGUGUAGCGGUGAAAUGCGUAGAUAUUAGGAGGAACACCAGUGGCGAAGGCGACUUACUGGACUGUAACUGACGCUGAGGCUCGAAAGCGUGGGGAGCGAACAGGAUUAGAUACCCUGGUAGUCCACGCCGUAAACGAUGAAUACUAGGUGUAUGGGGUGUAGACCCCCUAUGUGCCGCAGCUAACGCAUUAAGUAUUCCGCCUGGGGAGUACGAACGCAAGUUUGAAACUCAAAGGAAUUGACGGGUACCCGCACAAGCAGCGGAGCAUGUUGUUUAAUUCGAAGCAACGCGAAGAACCUUACCAGGUCUUGACAUCCUUAUGACCGGUUUUUAAUUUGGCCUUUCCUUCGGGACAUGAGUGACAGGUGGUGCAUGGUUGUCGUCAGCUCGUGUCGUGAGAUGUUGGGUUAAGUCCCGCAACGAGCGCAACCCUUAUUUUUAGUUGCCAGCAGUUAAGUUGGGCACUCUAGAGAGACUGCCAUGUUGACAAUAUGGAGGAAGGUGGGGAUGACGUCAAGUCAUCAUGGUCCUUAUGUUCUGGGCUACACACGUGCUACAAUGGUCGGUACAAUGUGUUGCGAGAGGGUGAGGUUGAGCGAAUCAUAUAAAGCCGAUCUCAGUUCGGAUUGCAGGCUGCAACUCGCCUGCAUGAAGUUGGAGUUGCUAGUAAUCGUGGAUCAGAAUGCCGCGGUGAAUGCGUUCCCGGGUCUUGUACACACCGCCCGUCACACCAUGGAAGCUGGGGGCGCCCGAAGCCCGUGAUCCAACCCCUUGUGGGAGGAAGCGGUCGAAGGUGAAAUCAGUGACUAGGGUGAAGUCGUAACAAGGUAGCCG